rnacentral:tRNA from 1 species
ACUAGUUUAGCAUAAGUUUAAUGCGUUGGGUUGUAGUUCCAAUUAUACAAAAUUUGUAGCUAGGG